rnacentral:rRNA from 1 species
CAAUAGCGUAUAUUUAAGUUGUUGCAGUUAAAAAGCUCGUAGUUGGAUUUCGGGUGGGACGCAGCGGUCUCGCAUUGCGUUUGUACUGCUGCAGCCCUCCUUCUUGCCGGGGGCGGCCUCUCGGACUUCACUGUCUGGGGGUCAGAAUCGGCGAUGUUACUUUGAGUAAAUUAGAGUGUUCAAAGCAAGCUUACGCUCUGAAUAUAAUAGCAUGGGAUAACACGACAGGACUCUGGCCUAUCGUGUUGGUCUAUAGGACCAGAGUAAUGAUUAAGAGGGACAGUCGGGGGCAUUCGUAUUCCGUUGUCAGAGGUGAAAUUCUUGGAUUUACGGAAGACGAACAUCUGCGAAAGCAUUUGCCAAGGAUGUUUUCAUUGAUCAAGAACGAAAGUUGGGGGCU